rnacentral:rRNA from 1 species
UGGGGAAUCUUGCACAAUGGGGGCAACCCUGAUGCAGCGACGCCGCGUGAGCGAUGAAGCCCUUCGGGGCGUAAAGCUCUUUCGACCGGAACGAUAAUGACGGUACCGGGAGAAGAAGCUGCGGCUAACUACGUGCCAGCAGCCGCGGUAAUACGUAGGCAGCAAGCGUUGUUCGGAGUUACUGGGCGUAAAGAGUGCGUAGGCGGAUUGGAGAGUUGGAUGUGAAAGCUCCCGGCUUAACUGGGAGAGGUCGUUCAAUACUUCCACUCUUGAGUGCAGUAGAGGGAAGUGGAAGUCCGGGUGUAGUGGUGAAAUGCGUAGAUAUCCGGAGGAACACCAGUGGCGAAAGCGGCUUCCUGGACUGUAACUGACGCUCAGACGCGAAAGCUAGGGUAGCAAACG